CCCUACAAUCACGCACGAAAAAGAGAAACCGGCCGCUGCGUCUCGGGCUUGCCAUCGCAAUCGAAUCAGAUCCUCAACGGCCGCUAUCCCAAUCGGAUCGCCUCACCCUCAACCGGCCGCUGCGCCUCUGGCUUGUCAUCGCAAGACCUCUCGUUGGUGUGAUCCUCCUUCCCCUCCUCACUUGAUUUCAUCCUUGCCAUCGAGUGGUCUUCAAGGGGACGCCGGUGACUCCUCCGAUGGUGGUUGUGGGGUCGUCCGGAGAGGCGGGGAGCAGCGGCGCAUUGGUGGACCGACCGGGAGUGGCCUCGCGCUAGGGUUCCUCCCCACACCCCCGCUGCGCUUCAUCUCCCUCUCGUUGCACCCCUCCCAUCUAUGGUGUCUCUCCCAGUGAGGCAUAGCGACGGGCGUUGGCUAUUCCGGCGCGUGCGCAGCACACGACGGGCCGAGGGGCGUGGGGUCGAUGGCCGGAGGUCAAAGGCGAGCGGGGGCGGCGGCUGGGGAUUGGCGUGUGCUAUUCACGGGCUGUCUGCUGGCUGUGUGCGUGGUGCACAGGUGGUAGUAGCAGCAGCCACGGGCUUUUCUCUGAAUUUGCAUCAACAACAGCAAUAGCAGGGUCACGGACAGGAUCAUCAAAUCCCUCUGAAUUCUUGCCGGUUCAGGUUCUUUCCGUGCACCGGCUGAUCGAGGUGGUGAAGCACAUGUUAGCCGUGAGGAGGGACCUCGGCAACCCCGGCUUCGUCAAUGUCGCCGGUAACGCGUCCGAGAUGAUGUCGCCGAAGUUAGCCGGAGUUCUUGACUUACUAUCUUGUCUUCUGAACUACUAUCUCUGAAUUUAUUUAAGGUUACUUCUCAUAUCUCUGUUCUAAAGUAAAUGCAACAUGUGUCUUGCUUGUUAUGUGUAUGUGCAACAGAUUUGUGCUACAAAGAAGGGUUCAUGUGCAAGGAAGCAUAGAAUAUAUGAGGCAAAAAAAGAAAGAAAAUGAUCAAGGGUAGAAUCAUGCUUGGGAAAUCCAUACGAAAAUCUGAAGUAUGGGUGUUUAAAAAUCUUCCCUUUGUGACUGCUUGGAAAUCUGAAGUAUCAAGACUGUUCUAUUCAUAUAUGAUUUUUUUAGUAUGAGGCACAAAACAUGCUUACUGAUAUAUAGUUUUGAAAUCAUGCUUGGGAUUUUCUCCCUCCCAUGUUAUAUCCAAUAUUUGCUGUCAAACCUGAACCUGAAUAUCCUGAACCAUUUUCAUUUGUAUUUGAUAGUAGGAUAAAUAACUGCUCCAAAGUCAUCAAGCCAUCAUCAUUCACGGGUUUAAUUUGCAGGUGCUCUAAAAGAAUAGAGGUACGGUUCUGAAAGAUUAGAUGUUGAUCCAAACCUUGCUUGAGUGCAGGUCCAUGAGUCCAGCCUACAGACAACUCAUACAACAAAACAGAGUGAACAACUUAAUCUCUUGUAUGCCUAACUAUGCGGAUAUAGAACUAUGGAGUGGAAUGUACAAAGUCAGCAACCUCAUGACGAGAAGGGAUAACCUUGAUGCAGACCAACAUCUUUGGCUCCACUAUUAUUGAUGAAAACUGGAUGUGAUUGUUGGACAAACUGCAGUUACAAAUAGUAUUCCUCAUUUGACUCUUGUGGGGAGAGAGAUAAAAUAAAUCUGCCAUCAGUAGGCGAGUUCCAACACUGGAUGGCAAGGCAAUGCUCUGUUUGGAAAUAGUUAUUCGCUUGAAGGAGGUAGAAGGCGGUGCAGCAGCUGCAGUUUUCACCUCAUUUGUGCUAGCCAUUUUUUUCUUGAAGAUUUGUGCCAGCCAAUUUGGGUAUGGGUGAUGCUCAUGGAAGCUAUUCUAUGUAGCUCACGGAUUGUCUUGCCUAUAUAAUUCUUGAUGUAGCUGAUGAUUGAAUCCUGGAAUGCUAGGAUUCCAUGAAUGGAAAAUGCGUGUGCAAGAUUGGUACAUUUUGUGAUGGAAGGAUU